ensembl:lncRNA
ACAUAAUGCACUUGUUUUAAAUCAAAGGCUCUUGAUAUGGAUAGAAGGGGCAGAGGGCAAUAGAAAUUGCUGGAACUGACAUGGCUUGCUGGGCUCUGAGCUCCCCAGCUGCGUGAUUCAGCCUGGCCUUGCCUCCUCUCUGGGAAUUUCGCUAUCCUCGGUUUGUUUUUCUGCUCUGCGAAAACGAGAGACGCCACAGUUCCUGAGUUGCAGGGAUUGCUCUGAAGGUUUUCGCUGGGAUUUAGGGCGAUUGAGGAAAUGCGCAGGCGCUUAGACGGUUUCCAAUCCACCCCGCUGACCACGCAGGACGCAGCCCGGAUUCUCCGAAAACCACUCUGGCCCGUGACCCCCUGCUCUCCGGGGCAAGCUGACUCUUAACCCAGAGGCGGCAGUGUCUCCGGAUCCCCCAUCCUGGGCUGAGGUCGCCGGAGGCUAGGGUCUGAGAUCCCCCGGGAAAGAAGCUCGAUGGGCUGGUUCAUUAGGGACCCAGCUUGGCGGCAGAUGACGAAACCGGGAAGGGCUUCCGCCUUCAGAAAGCGCAUCCCGUAAAUGAGAUGGCCCAGCGGGAUGGCAAGGGCACACGUUCGGGGAGAUUUGAGACGCUCUUGCAGAUCAUUCCAGCUCCGGAGUGCAGUGGCGGAGCUGGGAGAAAUCGGUCAGACCCCAGCUUCGGAGGCGAUCCCUGGGUUUGGAUCACACUUCGCAGAAGAAACUCACCGCCCGACCUUGGGAGCCUCUGCCCGACCGGAAAAUGGAGUUUCCGGAGCCCACCUCUAAACCGGGUGUGGCACAAAGCAAACGGACGAAAGCGCUAGUCUUAGUAGGCGUCAGGUUCCAGUCUCCUCACCUCAGUCUUCGCACCACCGUUUUCCGCUCCCUUCCGACUUGUUCCCAGGGUCACCGGAGCCCCUCACCCGGAAAGAGCCCUCGGAAAGGUAUCAUCAAUGGCUACUUGGUUUCUUUGUGCAACAGAAAGCAGAGUUUGAUUCUUCCCCGCUUCCUCUACCCAUUACCAAUUUAUUUUCAUGGUGAUGCCUCAAAACCCAAGCCUGACCCCCGUUCCGUAGCCAGUGGAAAGGCAGACUGCAAAGCAAAGGGCACUUGAAUGGACUACCUUCCCCCUACAAACCGAAAAGAGCAUUUGUUCGAGAUCGAUCUCCUUGGAAGGGAGAUAGGAAUGGUAAACGGAAUGUGAUUUGACACAGUCCUGAAAGGGCAACAGGCAUCCAUCUAUCCUGCACCCCAUCCCCCAAGUGAAUGCAUCCAGUUACCAUCUCCAUUUGCAAAGAACUAUAUAGGUC